AGGGGCAUAGCCCAGUGGUAGAGCACGUGCUUAGCAUGCAUGAGGGGGUGGGUUCAAUCCCCAGGUCCCUC
rnacentral:tRNA from 1 species